rnacentral:rRNA from 1 species
AUUGAACGCUGGCGGCAGGCCUAACACAUGCAAGUCGAGCGAGCGGCGGACGGGUGAGGAAUGGCGGGGAACCUGCGGGAUGGAGGGGGAUAAGUACGGGAUACGGUAGCUAAUACCGCAUUCCAUCAGAUGUGCCGAGAUGGGAUUGGCUAGGAGGUGGGUUAACGGCUCACCUAGGCGACGAUCCCUAGCCGGUCUGAGAGGUUGACCAGCCACCCUGGGACGGAGACACGGUCCAGACUCGUACGGGAGGCAGCAGUAGGGAAUAUUGCGCAAUGGGCGCAAGCCUGACGCAGCCAUGCCGCGUGAGUGAAGAAGGCCUUCGGGUUGUAAAGCUCUGUCAGCGGGGAAGCGGUACCCGAAGAAGAAGCAACGGCUAACUACGUGCCAGCAGCCGCGGUAAUAC